UAGUCCACGCCGUAAACGAUGGAUACUAGCUGUUCGGAUUUAUCUGAGUGGCUAAGCGAAAGUGAUAAGUAUCCCACCUGGGGAGUACGUUCGCAAGAAUGAAACUCAAAGGAAUUGACGGGGGCCCGCACAAGCGGUGGAGCAUGUGGUUUAAUUCGAUGAUACGCGAGGAACCUUACCAGGGCUUAAAUGUAGUCUGACAGGCGUGGAAACAUGCUUUUCUUCGGACAGAUUACAAGGUGCUGUAUGGUUGUCGUCAGCUCGUGCCGUGAGGUGUCAGGUUAAGUCCUAUAACGAGCGCAACCCCUACCGUUAGUUGCUAGCAGGUCAUGCUGAGGACUCUAACGGGACUGCCGGUGCAAACCGUGAGGAAGGUGGGGACGACGUCAAAUCAUCACGGCCCUUACGUCCUGGGCCACACACGUGCUACAAUGGCCGGUACAGAGGGAAGCCACCACGUAAGUGGGCGCGGAUCUAUAAAACCGGUCACAGUUCGGAUCGGGGUCUGCAACUCGA
rnacentral:rRNA from 1 species